UCUAUGGAUUACUUUGUGUGCUAAAAACUCCCAUUAUAGGAUUCUUUCGAGGAACUUUGGGAUCAUAUAAUUGGGUAUACUGCAUCAUAAUGGCCUGUAAUUUGACUUGCUGUAUACUUGUAAAGUUAACACCAGUUCUGGCAUCAUACAGAAGUAGAACGAGACAGUCAAAGGAAAGAACAUGAGAAUAAGAAAUGAGAAGAACUCACCAAUGUGAUAAAAAGAUUAAUCUGACGCUGUGCGGAAGAAUACAUUGAAUCAAGUCAAAGAAUCAAGUCAAGUCAAAGUAACCAUAUGACAGAAUCGAAGAGAUGUGAUGUCUGGAAAGAAAAAAAUUAUUAUAACAAUCAUCAAUUAUCAUCAGAAAUAUAAAUAACUUUCAUUUUAAUAGUUAUUAAAUCACAAUUUUAGAGAUAUUAGAAAAUAUCACAAUAUUAGAGAGAGUUUGCUUAGCAUUUUUCUUAGGUUAACCAUAACGAUAACUUUGUUUUCUACCCAUUUGGAACACAGUGAUUUCAGUUCAAAUAGCGUUAACGUAAGGGUUAGGGGGAUUAACCUUUUGCAAAAUAUCUCCAUCAGUCAUCCACAAGCAACAUUCACAAUUCAAAAUUGUGCUUGCUUAUGGUUAUAAAUGCAUUUAUCCUAAUAGAAUAUUUUUUACAAAAUGACACUUUAAUGGCCUUAAAAUAGCGUUUUUAUUUUACUUUUUGUUAUUUAGUUUUUUAAAAUGUAAAAAAAAAAUAUAAAACGAUACAAUAAAAAUUAAUAGAUUUAUGAAUUCUUAAAGAUAUAUCAUUAAAAAAAAUUUAAAAUUUUAUAGGCUGUGAAUCAGAGAUUGCCAACCAACAUCUAUUAGAAAGCCAAUGCACCUUUCGGUCAACCUGGCAUCCCCAAAACCCAUAUUGUGGCAGGACAGUUUUUUUAACACAAACAAGCAGAGUAAUUGAAAAAAUAAUGUCACUUUCCAGAAUUUUGCUACAAAACAUAGAAACACUAUUACUUAAAUUUAACUGAAUUUUGGAAGUUCGAACCAACAAAUAAUUUUCCAAAUUUCAUUCACAGUUUGGCAGAGAAAUAUUGUUGUAGGUUGAAAUCCACACAGAUGAUUUUCAUUAUGAACAAAAUAAAGUCAAAAUGUAAUUUAAGGUUAACUAAUAGGUACAUAAAGCAUUUUUUUUUUUGGAUCUUUAAGCUGUAUAUUGUGAAGUAUAUAGCAUUGUGAAAAGAAGAGGUUUGAUCCUAAAUGGUGGCUUGAAGCCCAUCCAGCUUAAGAUUGAUGGGUACCAGCCUCCCAGGAUAAGCAAAGGGAGCAUGUCGUAUGCCCGAAAUAUGAAUCAUGAGAAUCAUGAACACUUGGAGCCUAAAACUCUAUUAAACCCUCACACCAGCUGUUUAAAAAACCUAAUAAUUGAGAUAAUGUUUAAUAAUUAUUUUUAAUUAAAUGUUUUAAGUUAUUUAUAUUUAUUUUAAACAUAAGUGACGUAGCCUUCCAAAUUUUUCUUGACAAUAAAGUCUAAAUUUAUACUUC